AGUCAAGUAAUUAAGUGCAUGUGGUGGAUGCCUUGGCAGUCAGAGGCGAUGAAAGACGUGAUAGCCUGCGAAAAGCUCCGGGGAGGCGGCAAAUAUCCUUUGAUCCGGAGAUGUCUGAAUGGGGGAACCCACCUACUUUAAGGUAGGUAUUGCAACAUGAAUACAUAGUGUUGCAAGGCGAACGAGGGGAAGUGAAACAUCUCAGUACCCUUAGGAAAAGAAAUCAAUUGAGAUUCCCUCAGUAGCGGCGAGCGAACGGGGAUCAGCCCAUUAAGUUAUGUGUGUUUUAGUGGAACGCUCUGGGAAGUGCGAACGUAGAGGGUGAUAUUCCCGUACACGAAAGGGCACACAUAAUGAUGACGAGUAGGGCGAGGCACGUGAAACCUUGUCUGAAUAUGGGGGGACCAUCCUCCAAGGCUAAAUACUCCUGACUGACCGAUAGUGAACCAGUACCGUGAGGGAAAGGCGAAAAGAACCCCUGUGAGGGGAGUGAAAUAGAUCCUGAAACCGCAUGCAUACAAGCAGUGGGAGCACCUUCGUGGUGUGACUG
rnacentral:rRNA from 1 species